AUGUGUGGGAAAGCAGAGUGCUCAUGGGUGGGUGGGGUGCAGGCUCAUGCAUACACGGGUGGGCGGGGCACAGUUAUGGUUGGGGCAUGCUCAUGCACAUGGGUGGGGCCUCCAUGCGCACAUGUGCAGGUGGGCAGGCACCCAUGCGUUUGGGUGGACGCGCACCUGUGUGGGGGAGUGCAUGAGGAGGGCGGGAGAACCAUCUACGUGGCCCAGUCCAUGGCUCGGUAUUCGGCCAUGGACCAGGGGUUGGGGACCCCUGCCCUAGAGGACAGAAACAAAAUUCAAAAUGACCUUGAUAGGAUGGGGUAUUUGGCUGAAUGCAACAGAAUCCAAUUCAACAGGGAUAAGUGCAAAGUGCUGCACCUUGGAAAAAGAAACCAACUGCACAGUUACAAGAUGGGGAAUACCUGGCUCAGCAAAACUAGGAGUGAGAAGGAUCUUGGAAUUGUCAUAGAUCAGAAGCUAAAUAUGAGCCAACAGUGUGAUGUGGUUACAAAAAAGACUAAUGCUAUUUUAGGCUGGAUUAAUUGUAUAGUUUCCAAAUCCUGUGAGGUGCUAGUCCCCCUCUAUUCAGAACUGGUUAGGCCCCAUCUUGAGUAUUAUGUCUUGUUCUGGACACCACACUUCAAGAAGGAUGCUAACAAAUUGGAACAAGUUCAGAGGAGGGUGACAAGGAUGAUCAGGGGGCUGGAAACCAAACCUUAUGAGGAAAGGACGAAAGAACUGGGCAUGUUUAGCCUUGAGAAAAGAAGACUGAGGGGUGAUAUGAUAGCACUUUUCAAAUAUGUGAAAAGACUGUCAUACAGUGGAGGGGCAAGAUCUGUUCUUGAUCAUCCCAGAGUGCAGGAUACGCAAAAUUGGCUCAAGUUACAGGAAGUCAGAUUUCUGUUGAAUAUCAGGAACAACCUCCUAACUGUUAGAGCAGUAGGGCAAUGGAACCAUUUUGGAAUUACUUUGAGAGAUGAUGAGUGUUCCAGCACUGGAGGUAUUCAAGAGAAGUUUGGACAACUUCUUGACAGAUAUCCUUUGAUUUGUAUUCAUGCAUUGAACAGGGGGUUGGACUUGAUGGCCUUCCGACUUCAUUAUUCUAUGAUUCUAUGA
rnacentral:lncRNA from 1 species